rnacentral:lncRNA from 1 species
GAUAGCAGCAAGCUUCUUUGGUGUUAAACAACUUAGAUAUUCUGAUAAAGCAUCUAGUGAGUCAGGGGAAGGAUGAUGUCAAGCUGUUGUCAAGCCAAUUGCAUGGAAAGAGAAGAAUUAACGUGUUCUCCCUUCAAAAUGAUGGAUUCCAUGGCUCCACAUUCAUCAUCUGGCUCAUCAUUACCAACUCUUUGCAGUCCAUCGCAGGGUGACCUCGUUAGCACUGUCUGUGCACUUUCUGUGAUAGCGGGCUGCCUGGAGGCCCUGCAUGUGUGGUGUGGGUUAAUGAGGGUCUGAGUCAACAAGUUAGAAACUCACCUUUCCAGCCAUCAGAUCCAGAAAUGCUAGAAAAAGGCACAGGGCUCAUAAUCAGACAUGCCAUGUUGACCAAAGAGUAAUGUCUCAUCCUGGUGAGAUCGUCCACAGCACCUGUGCUGAAUAAUUGUCAGGCAGCCAUAAGACCAUGGUAAGCUCCCAUACUAUCUAGAGGUCAAUUUAUCAUCCAAGAUGGCCUGCUUUGCAGAUUGCAGCAUGCAUACCCUCUGCAGCACCAGGUAGCAGGCAGCAGGAGAGGUAGCCCCACAAUAACACAGCAUGUGUCCCUAGAGCAUCUUCUUAUUGAAAUGGGA